UGACUNGAGUGCAGAAGGGGAGAGUGGAAUUCCAUGUGUAGCGGUGGAAUGCGUAGAUAUAUGGAGGANCACCAGUGGCGAAAGCGGCUCUCUGGUCUGUCACUGACGCUGAGGCUCGAAAGCGUGGGUAGCGAACAGGAUUAGAUACCCUGGUAGUCCACGCCGUAAACGAUGAGUGCUAGGUGUUAGGCCCUUUCCGGGGCUUAGUGCCGGAGCUAACGCAAUAAGCACUCCGCCUGGGGAGUACGACCGCAAGGUUGAAACUCAAAGGAAUUGACGGGGGCCCGCACAAGCGGUGGAGCAUGUGGUUUAAUUCGAAGCAACGCGAAGAACCUUACCAGGUCUUGACAUCCCGAUGCUAUUCUUAGAGAUAGGAAGUUACUUCGGUACAUCGGAGACAGGUGGUGCAUGGUUGUCGUCAGCUCGUGUCGUGAGAUGUUGGGUUAAGUCCCGCAACGAGCGCAACCCUUAUUGUUAGUUGCCAUCAUUAAGUUGGGCACUCUAGCGAGACUGCCGGUAAUAAACCGGAGGAAGGUGGGGAUGACGUCAAAUCAUCAUGCCCCUUAUGACCUGGGCUACACACGUGCUACAAUGGUCGGUACAACGAGUUGCGAGCCGGUGACGGCAAGCUAAUCUCUGAAAGCCGAUCUCAGUUCGGAUUGGAGGCUGCAACUCGCCUCCAUGAAGUCGGAAUCGCUAGUAAUCGCGGAUCAGCACGCCGCGGUGAAUACGUUCCCGGGCCUUGUACACACCGCCCGUCACACCACGAGAGUUUGUAACACCCGAAGUCGGUGAGGUAACCUUUUA
rnacentral:rRNA from 1 species